rnacentral:rRNA from 1 species
UACGAGGGGGGCGAGCGUUGUUCGGAAUUAUUGGGCGUAAAGGGUGCGUAGGCGGUUUGGUAAGUCUUGUGUGAAAUCUACAGGCUCAACUUGUAGUCUGCACGAGAAACUGCCGGGCUUGAGUAUGGGAGAGGGAAGUGGAAUUCCUGGUGUAGCGGUGAAAUGCGUAGAUAUCAGGAGGAACACCGGUGGUGUAAACGGCUUUCUGGACCAUAACUGACGCUGAGGCACGAAAGCGUGGGUAGCAAACAGG